UGGACAAUGUGUAAAUAUCGGACAAUGUGGAAUUUAUAAUGGUAAUCUAAUCUCGUGGUUUGUGUUGCAAAAACGAGUAAUGUUUGUGAUGCGAUGAAUAUGUUGUAAGGAAUCUGGUGAAGAAAGAAAAUUCAUCGACCGAAGCAUAUGUAAACUUAUCACAAUUUUACAACUGCUCAACUUUUUUCUGUGAGAGGAUAAAAUCGAGAAAAAAGGUCCGAGAAUCCAACUGCAUCGUGUAUUUUCUUGUGGUGAAGUGAUGAAGGAAAUUUUGAGUUCCUCCAGUGUUGUUAAAUGUCGUAAAAAAAUUCAUCGGGUGCGACUCCAAUGUGCAGUGACUACACACUGUAAACAUACGUAUAUACAGGCAGCCUUAAGAUGGCGUGGAGAAGCAUAACCGUUAACUUUAAGGCUAUUCUAUUCUAUUCUAUUCUAUCGUCUUAUUAUAAACGUAAGAAACGAAGCAAGAAAUUUGGUUACUAGAUAUAGGAACUUUUGUAACCUUCGGUACAACCCGUAACUAUGUAAAAAUGUAAUGGCAGUAAAAUACAAAGUUCGGACAAGACAUUGAUCGGGUUAAAAUAUUCAUUUUUCUCUUUUCGUUAGAAUAUUAAAACAGACGGAAUUUAUCAUUGUAAUUUUUGUUUUGCUUCACUGUUAUUUUACAUUGGAGGAAAUUGAGACCCAAAAAGUAUCAUUUGUUUUUAAUUAAGAAUAUUAUUCACGAAAAAGUUAAAUGAAAUUAAAAUCAUACCUAAAUAUUAAGGAAUAAAUAUGCGAGCCAUAAAACAACCGAUUCGAGUUACCACCACUUUCAUCACGGCAUAUAUAAAUCGACUCAUCGAAUAAUAUUCACAUUGACCAGCAGAGUGUUACGACUCCGACAUGGUCGUCAAAUGCACGAUGUCCACGUCGAUGACAGGAAGGACCUAGAUGUCGUUAUAAAACCACCGGAGCUGGAUUACCAAGACGUCAUCCCAACGACACGCAGGAAGGAACUGGAAGUCAUCCUAGAACCACCGAGGUCGAUUUACAGAAGACCGCAUUCGACAUACAGAACCUAUCUCAGAUUAAUUGGUAUCCAAAGGUACCAAUCGAUAAGAGCGCGGACCUUCGACUGGCCAUUGGAAAUAGAGCACAACAAUAAAUGAUUAAAAAUGUUCUCGAUAUUAUAAAAAUUUAGUUGAAAUAUCAACGAUCUUCUCUACACGUGAGAUUUCAUUGAGAUAUGAUCGCUCCAUCGCAUCGUAUGUAUGUAGAAAGUUGCUGCCACUGUCACGAAGUUUGAUGAAAACGUAUGUUUUCUACCGAUUGCGCCAAAUCUGACUUAUCGAGUACAAUGACGAAUAAAUUCAAUUUUUUAACUUUUAUUAUUAAUUUAUAACAUCGUAAUAAUUUAUUACGAUAAAAAAUUAAUGUAUUUUUACUAUUUUUAUCGUUUUAUCACACCUUUAACAAUUUAUUACGAUAGUAAACGUAAUAAUAUAUUUUUAUAAACUAAAUUUUAGAUUUCUGUCUGAUAGUAGAUUU